rnacentral:misc_RNA from 1 species
GUAGUUCGUUUCUUUGUUGCGUUGGUAAGAUCAUUUAACAUAGUUAUGAAGUCAAAAAGUAGUUAGAUUAUAGGAUCAACUUGAUCUCCAAUGCCACCCUUUGACCUGUGAGUACUGAACACGUAACAAAUGAAUGGCGUCAUUGCUGAUUUAAGUGACACUGAGAAUUAGAAAUGUUCUAGGUCUUUAAUAUUCUCAGUAGAGGGAGGAUACCAUGUAAGGGUCGACGUUCAUGUGGGUUCCAGAAACACAGAUAUUAAAAGGGUCAGUUCACCUGACAUGGUUGUUUGAAGACUCUGAUUUGAAUUAUUAUUGUUCUAAUGAAGGCUUAUUAGCAGAACUAUAGAUGUGAACAAUUAUUGAUUCUAGGAUUAAUUAAUUUGGUGGAUCAUUUCAGACUAAUUUAGUUCUUUGAGAAUAAAUCUGUGAACAUUAACAGUUGACUUUAAAUUCCCUUGACAAAAACCUAGUUGUUGUAUGGAACUAUGGAUUAAAGUUUAGUUUAUCCAUUCCUAUCUAGUGUAUGAGUUGUUUUACGCUGGUCUUGUGGUUCUAAACUUUCAUAUAUAUAGGUUUUUCAUGGAUAUAUGAACUUGAGGUGACAAAAUUUUCUAUCAAGUAUUGUACAAUAAUGGACACUGUGUCAUAUGUUAUAUGGAUAAAUUUGUAUUUGUUAAAUUCUCAUUUUUGUUUCUGCCAUUUUAUUGCCACCGUUUUAAUUAUAUUUAUAUGCACAACUGGAAUGCACUUAUGAUUGCAGAGCCCCAGGAAGGAAGUGAAUGC